rnacentral:tRNA from 1 species
UGGGGACGUAGCUCAGUUGGGAGAGCGCUGCCGUCGCAUGGCAGAGGUCGAGGGUUCGACUCCCUUCGUCUCCACCC